CGAAUCCUUAUUUGCUUAAAAGGUUGGGAUUUUACUUCCCAAAUUCGUCUCAACGAAUUGGUUUUUAAACUUUUGGCUAAUUUUGGAUCAUCCUUUGUCAAUUUUGUAAUUUUCUGAAAACUUUAUCUAAAGCGCUUGGGCUGCUGUUGAGAAAUCUUAGCAUAAUUGCUGUUAAUGUUUGGGAAAUUCUCUACUGCCUUUUAUAGUCUGCACAAGUGUGAGUUCCUCACUUCCUUGUAGUGUUUGUGAAAUCUUAUUUUAUGAUUUUUAUAGAUGUUUCUUAAGACAUCUCUUCUCAUUCCUUGUAUUGAAUUCAAAUAAAAACUUAAACCGAUAGAGUAAUGCAAGGGAAAAAAAAUGUUUAGAUGUUGGGUUGGUGCCCAUGAUCUUGGAUAUGAGAUUGCUUCCUGUUUUAUUGCCUUGGUUCAUGCUAAAUGCCAAUGUUGGGUUUCUAUAGAAACGUUUUCAGCAUCAUUCCCUAUGAUGACCGCAUAGAUAAUUGGGAAAAUACAAUUUUUUUACAACAGUUUUUCUUCCCAUUUUUGUUCUUUUUUCUCGUGCUCUGUUUUUUUUCUUCUAACCCCUUUGCUGCAUACUUUCUAUUGGCCACGAUUGUGUCUCCUUUCCUG
rnacentral:misc_RNA from 1 species